AUUGAACGCUGGCGGCAGGCUUAACACAUGCAAGUCGAGCGGGGGUGGUAGCUUGCUACCUAACCUAGCGGCGGACGGGUGAGUAAUGCUUAGGAAUCUGCCUAUUAGUGGGGGACAACAUUUCGAAAGGGAUGCUAAUACCGCAUACGCCCUAAGGGGGAAAGCAGGGGAUCUUCGGACCUUGCGCUAAUAGAUGAGCCUAAGUCGGAUUAGCUAGUUGGUGGGGUAAAGGCCUACCAAGGCGACGAUCUGUAGCGGGUCUGAGAGGAUGAUCCGCCACACUGGGACUGAGACACGGCCCAGACUCCUACGGGAGGCAGCAGUGGGGAAUAUUGGACAAUGGGGGGAACCCUGAUCCAGCCAUGCCGCGUGUGUGAAGAAGGCCUUUUGGUUGUAAAGCACUUUAAGCGAGGAGGAGGCUACCGAGAUUAAUACUCUUGGAUAGUGGACGUUACUCGCAGAAUAAGCACCGGCUAACUCUGUGCCAGCCGCCGCUGUAACAC
rnacentral:rRNA from 1 species